AUGUCCCUACCAACUCUGGAAGCCGAGAUUGAGCUCGUUGUUUUGUCUUCUGAGCAGUCAAGACGCAAGGACACCAGAGAUCCUAAGAAUGAGCUCUCCUCCAGGAUCCGUGCUUGUGCUAUUAUUAAUGUUUGGAGGAAGCAAGGGAGAUUCAGUGACCCAGAUGGAAGGCCAAAUGACGCGCUCAGAGCGGGCUUCUCUGUGAACUGCUCUUACGAAACCACACGGUACCCUGCCCUUUUCUGGUAUGUCCAGUAUCCCGGACAAGGGCCACCGCUCCUCCUGAAAGCCAUGACAGCCAACGAGAAUGGAAGCAGCAGAGGUUUUGAAGCCACCUACUGCAAAGAACCAAAUUCUUUCCACUUGAAGAAAUCCUCAGUGCAAUUGUCAGAUUCGGCCGUGUACUACUGUGCCGAGUGA